ACGAGUGUAAAUUUCAGGCUCAUUAUCAACAAUAAAAAUAGUAUAUUUCAGUUCAGAUAUUAAUAACACAUAUAAGGUCCUACUAGUACUGCUUAUAAAAAGACUUCAAAGAACCUACGAGUGGAUGAAAAUUCGUCUACCUUUUUUCAGAAAAGCAAAGCCACUAAUGUUAUGUCCCUUUCGCUAUCUUCCAAUUAGAAAAUACUAGAAAAUCUUAAAAUAAUGAUAAAUAAUAAUAACAAUUAUUAUCAGAAGAGAGUUACGUGUCGAUUUCUAAUUGAAGCGAUAAAAAUUGAAAUUAAAUAAAACGCGUCAUUUCAAUUCUGUGGAAAUAUCUUAGAGCGGAGGGAAGAAACAUUCAUCACUCCUACCGCAAUUCACUAAAUCUGGUAGAUUCAAAAGUUUUUCAAGGGAUUGUUUCUGAUUUCAUGAGAAGGAUUUGAAGAUUGCAGAUCCUGGUGAGAAGGUUGAUGGGGUUUGGUGGAGGUGAAAAGCUUCGAAAUUUUUAAAGAUGUUUAUUUUAAUGAAUUAUAUAUGUUGUUAAGGAAUCACCAAACCCAUAUGAAUCAAAUUGUGUAGAGUUUGUUCUAACUCAAUCACAGGUCUUGAGUUUGAAUUGUGAAUACUAUGAAUGAAACUAAGAAGGACAGUUUAGUCUCUCACGGUAACCCUAAUUGACUCGAACUGCGGUUUGGUGAAGAUAUGUUUGGAGUUGAAUUUAAACAUAUAUGAUUCUUAAUUAUGGUACCUCUUCACCUUGUCAGAUUUUGUUAAACCAGUUGCAUGAACAGGUUAUGCAGCUUUUUGUAUGAUGUUCUUUUCUGAUCUAUAGACCCUAUAGCUAUGACGGUUUUGGUGUUAUCUUGUCAUGUGAUCUGCAAAGAUGGCCAACAAAAGUGAGUGGUGAACACAACUAGUUGAAGAUGAGGAGGAAGAAACAAAAGAAGAAGAAGAAGAAGAAUGAAUUACCAAGGUGUAGAAGUUUCUGAGAUCAUCUCCACCGAUAGUUAUUCUUGGUUGGUUGAAAACUUGUGAAGGUUUGAAUUCACAUCCAUUGGUGAUAUCUCUGUUAUUGUAGGUGACCCUCAUGGGAAUGGAACAUUCAAAGGGGUCCAACACAUCCCCAAUCACACGCCCUACAACCAGAGGG